rnacentral:rRNA from 1 species
AUGCCGCAGCUGCCGGACGAGCUCGUCGAGGAGAUCUUCCUCCACCUCCCGCCGGACGAGCCCGCGGCGCUCGUGCGGGCCUCCCUCGCCAGCAAGCCCUGGCUCGCCCUGCUCACUGGCCCCGCCUUCCGCGCCCGCUACCGCGAGUUCCACGGCGCUCCCCCCAUGUUGGGCCUCUUCUACUCUCGGCCCGACGACACCGAUGACGAGGAAGACCCCGACCCACCCUUCGUCUCCACCACAAAAUUUGCGGUGCGCAUUCCACACUUCAUCGAUCCGACGUACCAACGUUUUGAUGCAUGGGACUGCCGCCAUGGCCGUGUUCUCCUCGUGGAUAACGGCUAUAGUGACCCGUUGCUUGGCGUUUGGGACCCCAUCACAGACUGCACUCGGGAGCUGGUGGGGCUCUUCUUCCCCGACAGCUUUGGGGUCGCGGUGCUCUGCGCCGUGAGCGGCUGCGACCACCGCGCGUGUCACGCGGGCCCCUUCAGAGUGGUCUACGUCGGCCUGGAAUACAGUGAAGAUGAAGACGGUGAGUGCGUUGCGGUCGCGUGUGUGUCCUCGCCGGACAUAGGUGACUGGAGCAAGCCGCGCCCUGAUUCUUUGUCUGAGUGGAAUGAGCAGUGCCCUGAUCUUGAUCUUGUUGCAGCAGCUGAUGCAUUCAUCCGGCCAAUGCCCUCUGUCCUCGUCAAUGACGCACUUCACUUCCUGCUUGGCUACAAACAUGAUGAUGAUCGUGUAGAAAUUCUCAAGUACAGCUUGAGCUCUGAUUCGUUAUCGUUGAUUGAUGCGCCACUUGCUGAGUCUGUUGUUUUUCAUGCCCCUAUCCUCAUGGCGAUGAAGAAUGGCACUUUGGGGUUUGCACAUGUGGACAGGUUAACCCUCUACGUGUGGUCCAGACAAAUAGAUUCCGACGGAGGUGCGUCAUGGACUCGCCUUAUAGUCGUGGAUGUCAAGAAUCUUCUCCCUAUUAAAAAUCCCAAGAGAGGAUCUAGACUGGUUGGAUCUGUGGAGGGCAGUGAUAUCAUUUUCGUGAAAACAGAUCUUGGCAUAUACGAGAUUGAUCUCAAGACACUAGAGUGGAAGGAGCGGCACAAGGGAGAAAACGUCAAAGCUUUGUUCCCGUACAUGAGUUUCUACGAUCCGUCAGGUAUAUAUAUUCCUUUUAUGAUUCUUGAACAACUCUUAGCUAGAUAA